rnacentral:rRNA from 1 species
UGCAAGUCGAACGGCAGCACGGGGGCAACCCUGGUGGCGAGUGGCGAACGGGUGAGUAAAACAUCGGAACGUGUCCUGUAGUGGGGGAUAGCCCGGCGAAAGCCGGAUUAAUACCGCAUACGCUCUGCGGAGGAAAGCGGGGGAUCUUCGGACCUCGCGCUACAGGGGCGGCCGAUGGCAGAUUAGCUGGUUGGUGGGGUAAAGGCCUACCAAGGCGACGAUCUGUAGCUGGUCUGAGAGGACGACCAGCCACACUGGGACUGAGACACGGCCCAGACUCCUACGGGAGGCAGCAGUGGGGAAUUUUGGACAAUGGGGGCAACCCUGAUCCAGCAAUGCCGCGUGUGUGAAGAAGGCCUUCGGGUUGUAAAGCACUUUUGUCCGGAAAGAAAACCUCUGCCCUAAUACGGUGGGGGGAUGACGGUACCGGAAGAAUAAGCACCGGCUAACUACGUGCCAGCAGCCGCGGUAAUACGUAGGGUGCAAGCGUUAAUCGGAAUUACUGGGCGUAAAGCGUGCGCAGGCGGUUCGCUAAGACAGAUGUGAAAUCCCCGGGCUUAACCUGGGAACUGCAUUUGU